UGUUUCUGCUUCAUUUCAUUUUUUCCUUUUUUAAAAACAUAAACAGAGGGGAAAAAUGGGGAAGUUUGUCUGCUAGGUUUUCCAACCCUAGCCUUCAUGGCGCCAUUGACUGCCAUGGAACCACCGUGAACGGUGCUCGGAUCCGGUGCUCAAAACCAGGUAAGCACCCUUUUAUAUUUUAUAUUAUUCUUUUGUAAAAAAUGGAAAUCAAAAAAGAAAAUGGGGAAAAUCACCUAAAAAAAACUGCUUGUGUAUUGCUCUUUGACCUUUUUUUUACAUCCCCUUUUACAGAUUUUUUCCAUCCGUUUUAUACCCGAAAACAAAGAAAGAUAAAAAAAUAAAAAUCCCGCAAAAUACGAAAAGCAUCCUUAUUUUCUGUUAUUGUUGCGUUUGUAUAUGCCUUUUUUUUGUUGUUUGUUUCUAUUCGUUGCUGCAGGUGUGACGUGCGCGAUGUUCGCGGAGGUGUGCGUGCAGACGGAGGCGCGCAAUGGGGCAGCAGUUGUGGCACCAGUUUGCUGGCACUGCUUAGGGUUUCCUGUUUUUGGGCUGUACAAGGUUAAUGGCUUGGGUUUGUUAGUCCGAAGGGUAUUGGGCUAGGGUUAAUUUUGUUUUUGUUUUUUUCUUUUUGGGUUCUUUAGUGGGCCGGGCAAAAAUUGGGCUCUACAAUUAACUUUAAUGAUAUUUUACGGGUUUUGUUAAUUGGUAAGAAAAUAAUAAGGAACAAAGAAGAGCGAAGUGUUUAUUGGUAAGAAAAUAAUAAGGAACAAAGAAGAGCGAAGUAAUUAAACACUCAACAAAGAUUGGAGGAGGAAGUCUUUUCAAAAGAAAACGUGGAAGUUAAUGAGUAAGUUUGAAGGCGGUCAUGUAUGCCAAAAAAUAGAAAAUAUAAUGGUGAUUCUGUUAACAAAAUCUCCACUUAGUUUCACUAAAACAAUAAGAAUAAAAUAAAGAUGUAAAAAACCCGUUUGAACUAAAUUGAGCUAUCAAGCUCAGGCCUCCUACACCUGUGUCAUCCUCUUAUUUUGCUUCAUUAUUUAAACCAUGUAACCUUCCAACAAAAUAUAAUAAAAAUAUUCAGUAAUAUAUA
rnacentral:lncRNA from 1 species